rnacentral:rRNA from 1 species
GACGAACGCUGGCGGCGUGCUUAACACAUGCAAGUCGAACGGAAAGGCCCUGCUUGCAGGGUACUCGAGUGGCGAACGGGUGAGUAACACGUGGGUGAUCUGCCCUGCACUUCGGGAUAAGCCUGGGAAACUGGGUCUAAUACCGGAUAGGAGCCAUUUUUAGUGUGAUGGUUGGAAAGUUUUUUUCGGUGUAGGAUGAGCUCGCGGCCUAUCAGCUUGUUGGUGGGGUAAUGGCCUACCAAGGCGGCGACGGGUAGCCGGCCUGAGAGGGUGGACGGCCACAUUGGGACUGAGAUACGGCCCAGUCUCCUACGGGAGGCAGCAGUGGGGAAUAUUGCACAAUGGGCGCAAGCCUGAUGCAGCGACGCCGCGUGGGGGAUGACGGCCUUCGGGUUGUAAACUCCUUUCGCUAGGGACGAAGCUUUUUGUGACGGUACCUAGAUAAGAAGCACCGGCUAACUACGUG